rnacentral:lncRNA from 1 species
CAGGAGGGGCCGCCCCGCAAAGCCGGCCCCGAUGGCGCCGCGCCCAUCGCCCCGCCGCCGCGGCAGCCCUGCUCCUCGCUGGGGCCGCUGCUCAGUGAAUCCAGGCCCCUUGUGUGCGAAAGGUACAGGGUUGUGGUAUCCUAUCCUCCUCAGAGCGAAGCAGAACUUGAACUUAAGGAAGGUGACAUUGUUUUUGUCCACAAGAAGCGUGAGGAUGGCUGGUUCAAAGGCACUCUGCAGCGAAAUGGAAAGACUGGCCUUUUCCCUGGCAGCUUUGUAGAGAAUAUUUGAGAAGAUUCAUUCCAAGAGCUUCAGAUCAUACUGUACUGUAAAAUAGCACAAAUACUUUGCCAGAAAAAGCACAGUCAUGAAAUAUUUUCAAAUGACUGUAAUGUAAACAAAAAGCUACAUAUUUUUACAGUGUCUAUAGCACAAUUACACCAGCGAACAAAGGAGAUGAAGGCAUCUGCUGGUUUUAUCACUUUGAAUUCUUAAGUGUGAUGUGUGCCUUGUACUGUCUGAUUUAUUAUAUAGAGGAUUUUUCCCCCAAGUAUGUUACAUAAAUGAGCAAUUGUUUACAAGGCUGUAACUAAUUUAUUCUUGUUUUCUUUUUAAACUUGAAUUUUGUGUAAUAGCUAAAAUUCUUGUGACUAUGAUUUUAACAAAUUAUUAAUUUAUGAAAGAAUAACAAAGGGGAAGCUGGAUUCUCUCCUUAUGAGCAAUCAAUUAUAUCUGAUAAAGAGCCUCCCAUUUAUCCUCCGGACAUUUUUCCCCUGCUGUGUCUGACAGUGGAGUAAGUCUCUGUUGUAUGAGUUAAUGUUGAGUGGUGGUGAUGUGGCGUCAAAUAGAAUUUGCCAAAUGGGGAAAAAAUGUGUAUUUUCUUCUUUGGACAGAGAAAAAAAAAAAAAAAAAAGUCAGUGGUGUUCUUGAGUCUAGUUUUACUUCUUCACGAAUCACCUAAGUAGAGUAAUGUUUCCAGGAGGCAAAGAUGUAUGUGAACAACUGAACAAAACCAUCUCGAGGUUAGGAUCAUCUCAAGGUUAGAAAAGAAGAAAUUUAGGAGUGCCAACAAGAAAUUCCCUAUAUAUCCUCUAGUCAUGUAAUAGCUUGGCUAUUUGAACAAAGGUUAGCUUUGUGUAUUUGGCCAGUUCUUUGGGCAUUUAGUGCUCAGGAUCCAACAAAAUUGGAAGGAAUGUUAAAGCCCAACACUUAGAAUGAACAUAACUUGAAAACAUCUGUUUGAUAAGACUGAAUAUAAAAAUAAAUUUAUAAGUUGUACUUAAUGUCUAAAAAUG